rnacentral:lncRNA from 1 species
AUCUGUAUCUCAAACUUGAUGCAGAUGCAAAGGUAAUUGGUUAGGUAUAACUAUAACCUGGCACAAUAUGUCACUCUCCCACGUGGGCAUGAUUAUAAAAUGUUCUUUUUCUUCUUUUUUUUUUUUUUUUUUUUUUGGCAUUGGGAAUAAAAUUGAGUAUCUACCUAUAAAGUUUCCCUUGGCUGACGAAAUAAAUAAACAUGUUGGUCCAUAG